rnacentral:lncRNA from 1 species
CCAGAAGGAGUCUCGCUCUGACGCCCAGGCUGGAGUGCAGUGGUGCGAUCUCCGUUCACUGCAAGCUCUACCUCCCUGGUUCACGCCAUUCUCCUGCCUCAGCUUCCCGAGCAGCUGGGACUACAGGCGCCCGCCACCAUGCCUGGCUAAUUUUUUGUAUUUUUAGUAGAGACGGGGUUUCACCGUGUUAGCCAGGAUGGGCUCGAUCUCCUGACCUCAUGAUCCACCCACCUUGGCCUCCCAAAGUGCUGGGAUUACAGGCUUGAACCACCGCGCCCGGCCAACUGAUUUUUAUAUUAACAUUGAUACUUAGAUGUAAGAUGGGUUUGUAUUUUUAAAACAUGUAUUCAUCAGCCUUUAUUUACUUUUUUUUUUUUUUUUUUUUUUUUUUUUUUUUGUGAGACAGAGUCUCACUCUGUCGCCUAGGCGGGAGUACAGUGGUGUGAUCUCGGCUCACUGCAACUUCUGCCUCCCAGGUUCAAGGGAUUCUCCUGACUCAGCCUCCCGAGUAGCUGAGAUUACAGCCAUGCGCCAUCACACGUUACUAAUUUUUGUAUUUUUAGUAGAGAUGGGGUUUCACCGUGUUGGUCAGGCUGGUCUUGAAUUCCUGAUCUCAAAUGAUCCUCCUGCCUCUGCCUCCCAAAGUGCUGGGAUUACAGGUGUGAGCCACCACACCCAGGCUCAUUUACGUUUUAUUGUAUGUCAGUCCAGAUUCUCAUCUGGAAGAAAUAAAAACAUAUUCUGACUGAUAUUAGUGGAAAAUAGAUUCAUGAAAGUAUUUGGGAGGCUCACAGAACCUCCUGGAAUGCUCAGAACUAAACCAGGAGGCUACAUGCCCAAGAGCAAUGUUCCAAAGACCCUCUACAGCAUGGAGAAGAAGACGGCACAGCUGAUUUCCAGAUGUGGCUUGUGCUGCCAAUGCAAAGAACAUGGACUCUCAAUGGUACCACCACAUCUGCUGUCCUUGCUAUCUCUGGAAAUCCAAAAUAAAUGCAACCAAUUCUGCUGCUUGUUUUCAGAAUUUAUUUGGCAUGAAUCCUGGUUCUGGAAACACUGUCUUAUAGUCUUGGGUGGGUACAUCCGAUUGGAGGAGCCCUCCCCCAAUUAGCGUUUUUCAGAGAAACAGAGCCAUUACUAUGUAUGUAACUAUCUACAAUAUAUAUAAAUAGAAGAUAAUUUUUUAAUUUUUUAAUAUUUAUUUAUUUAUUUAAAUAAAGUUCUGUCGCCAGGCUGGAGUGCAGUGGUGCGAUCUCAACUCACUGCAACCUCCGCCUCCGGGGUUCAAGCGAUUCUACUGCUUCUGCCUGCCAAGUAGCUGGGACUAUAGGCACGUACCACCUCGCCCAGCUAAUUUUUGUUAUUUUUAGUAGAGACGGGGUUUCACCAUAUAGGCCAGGAUUGUCUCGUGUCUCGAUCUUUUGACCUCGUGAUCCGCCCGCCUCAGCUUCCCAAAGUGCUGGGAUUACAGGCCAUCGCGCCCGGCAGAAGAGAAAAUUUAUUAUGAGAAUUGGCUCAUGCAACUAUGGAGGUCGAAAAGUCCCAUGAUAUGUCAUCUGCAAACUGGAAACCCAGGAAAGUCUGAGGUGUAAUUCAGUUGUAAGACCUGAGAAGAGAGGGAGUAGGGAAUAGAGGAUUGGUGUAAGUCUCAAAGUCCUUUGACCUGUGAAACAAGGGCUGCAAUGUUUAUAGGGUAGGAGAAGAUAAUUGUCCCAGCUCAAGAAGAGAGAGAAAAUUUGCACUUCCUUCACCUUUCUAUUUGACCCUAAACAGACUGAAUCAUGUUCGCACACACUGGUGAUGGAUCUUCUUUACUCAGAUCACUGAUUCAAAUGUUAAUCUCUUCCAGAAACUCCCUCAAAGGCUCUCCAAGAAAUAACGCACUCCCUCAAAGGCACUCCUAGAAAUACCAGGCCCUAUAAUUUGUACCUAUUGGAAAGAGAACUAUGCUAAAAUUAAAAGGCCAACCACACUUUUAACAAAACAUGGAGAGACUUCCCUGAUGGAGCGGUACAAACUGAAGAUUCAUUGUGUACUAAUUAAUGGGCUGGCUAAAAGAGUGAGGCAUACGCAUGUUUCCUGGCUGGAGAACCACUUAUUUGUUUAAUAUUUAUUUUUAAACUGAAGAAUGAAGAAAAUAAAUUUCAAAACGUCGGAGUCCAAAAGAAUGUGGCUAAAAUAUGUACAUGAAAUACUGUACUAAAACAGUCCACAGUCAUCAGUAAAUGCAUAUCCAUUAACGGGUAAGUUACCAAAUUCAUACCACUCAGCAGCAUUGUAAUGCUGACUAAUAAAAAAUCAGCAUUUUUAAUAAGCAUUAUGGUAUUCUCUGAUCUGGCAUGAAAGUAAUCAGGUGUUCACAUGCCUAAGGUGAGGGCUAAUAGGUGCCUCCCAAAUUAUUGCACCACCUUUACUUCCCCAGGGAA